rnacentral:rRNA from 1 species
AACGUAGGACGCAAGCGUUAUCCGGAGUUACUGGGCGUAAAGCGCGGGCAGGCGGCUCGAAACGUCUGAUGUGAAAUCUCCUCGCUCAACGGGGAGAGGCCAUUGGAAGCGGUCGGGCUGGAGGGCAGUAGAGGCAGGCGGAAUUCCGGGUGGAGUGGUGAAAUGCGUAGAGAUCCGGAGGAACACCAGAGGCGAAGGCGGCCUGCUGGGCUGCACCUGACGCUGAACCGCGAAAGCCAGGGGAGCGAACGGG